rnacentral:rRNA from 1 species
ACGACUCUCGGCAACGGAUAUCUCGGCUCACGCAUCGAUGAAGAACGUAGCAAAAUGCGAUACUUGGUGUGAAUUGCAGAAUCCCGUGAACCAUCGAGUUUUUGAACGCAAGUUGCGCCCGAAGCCAUUCGGCCGAGGGCACGU